AACGAACGCUGGCGGCAUGUCUAACACAUGCAAGUCGAACGAGACCUUCGGGUCUAGUGGCGCACGGGUGCGUAACGCGUGGGAACCUGCCCUUAGGUUCGGAAUAACUCCCCGAAAGGGGUGCUAAUACCGGAUAAUGUCUUCGGACCAAAGAUUUAUCGCCUUUGGAUGGGCCCGCGUUGGAUUAGCUAGUUGGUAGGGUAAAAGCCUACCAAGGCGACGAUCCAUAGCUGGUCUGAGAGGAUGAUCAGCCACACUGGGACUGAGACACGGCCCAGUCUCCUACGGGAGGCAGCAGUGGGGAAUAUUGGACAAUGGGCGAAAGCCUGAUCCAGCAAUGCCGCGUGAGUGAUGAAGGCCUUAGGGUUGUAAAGCUCUUUUACCCGGGAUGAUAAUGACAGUACCGGGAGAAUAAGCUCCGGCUAACUCCGUG
rnacentral:rRNA from 1 species